AAUUAAACCCAGCCUGCUAGUAGAAAGAAGGCUGAGAUCGGGGCAACGUACGUAGGAGCUCCAUCGAUAGCUAGCGUGCCUAUAUAGUAUAAGCUGGAGGCCUCACGCUCCCUUCUACACCUAUCUUGCUUACGGCCGGGCAAAUUUUUUAGCCAACAGAGAGGAAGCUGCGCUGCUGCUGCUGGGUUGCUAGCCACUAGCUACUAGCUAGAUCCCAAGGCCGAUGGAUCGAUCGAUGGAGAACAACGGCAGGAGCAACCCGCAGCCUCCACUAGGCUAUCCGACGGUUGCUCCGGAUGGCGGCGAGGAGAAGAAGAAGGGGUCGCGUCGCGCGUCGACGACCAAGCGGGGAGACAGCUUUAUCGAAGGAUGCAUCGCUGCGCUCUGCUGCUGCUGGCUCUGCGAUCUCUGCUGCGACUGAAGAGCCUACCGGAAUAACUGAUCGAUCGAGAGGUCAAUCUAGAUGCGACAUGCACAAAGAUCGACAUGGAUUCAUGCUUGUGAUGCGUGGAGCUUCUUUCAUUUUGUCGAGUGGUGAUUUAUAUAUAGUAGUAUAAUUUUACAAGGACAGUGUAACCAAAAAAGUUGUACUUGUGCUAUAACUAAAAACAGGUUGAGUUUGUAAUGUGGACGGGUCUGUGUUAAUCGUACUGGGCAAGGAGCUAACAUGCACGCAGUGGUAUGGAUUUUUGGGUCCACAAGUUUCAUGUUUGUGCGUGCUUCUUUUUUUUCUAUAUAUGUAAGCUUUCCAUAUUACUAAAGGAAAGUUUUUGCUGCCUA